UUUUACACAUAAAGGUAUAGAAGAUGUGGAGAUUGAGAUUAACCAUUAUCGACUUAAGGAAAGAAAGCUACAACAUAAGAGAUGAGGAAUUAGAUGCAGAUCAAGUGUUACCGUGCUAGAGAAGGAAGGCUACAAAAUUUGCAUGUCCUUGCAUCCAUGGCGUCCACAAAAUUAGAUGUGUUGGUGGAACUGAUUAGGGC
rnacentral:lncRNA from 1 species